UACAGAGGGUGCGAGCGUUAAUCGGAAUUACUGGGCGUAAAGCGUGCGUAGACGGUUGCGUAAGUCGGAUGUGAAAUCCCCGGGCUCAACCUGGGAACUGCAUUUGUGACUGUAGAGCUGGAGUACGGCAGAGGGGGAUGGAAUUCCGCGUGUAGCAGUGAAAUGCGUAGAUAUGCGGAGGAACACCGAUGGCGAAGGCAAUCCCCUGGGCCUGUACUGACGCUCAUGCACGAAAGCGUGGGGAGCAAACAGG
rnacentral:rRNA from 1 species